UGGGGAAUAUUGGACAAUGGGCGAAAGCCUGAUCCAGCCAUGCUGCGUGUGUGAAGAAGGUCUUCGGAUUGUAAAGCACUUUAAGUUGGGAGGAAGGGCAGUAAGCGAAUACCUUGCUGUUUUGACGUUACCGACAGAAUAAGCACCGGCUAACUCUGUGCCAGCAGCCGCGGUAAUACAGAGGGUGCAAGCGUUAAUCGGAAUUACUGGGCGUAAAGCGCGCGUAGGUGGUUCGUUAAGUUGAAUGUGAAAGCCCCGGGCUCAACCUGGGAACUGCAUCCAAAACUGGCGAGCUGGAGUAGGGCAGAGGGUGGUGGAAUUUCCUGUGUAGCGGUGAAAUGCGUAGAUAUAGGAAGGAACACCAGUGGCGAAGGCGGCCACCUGGGCUCAUACUGACACUGAGGUGCGAAAGCGUGGGGAGCAAACAGG
rnacentral:rRNA from 1 species